rnacentral:rRNA from 1 species
AACGUAGGAGACAAACGUUAUCCGGAGUUACUGGGCGUAAAGGGCGUGUAGGCGGUAAUGUAAGUCUGGCGUGAAAUUUUUCGGCUUAACCGGGAAAGGUCGUCGGAGACUGCAUAACUAGAGGACGGUAGAGGCGUGUGGAAUUCCGGGUGUAGUGGUGAAAUGCGUAGAGAUCCGGAGGAACACCAGUGGCGAAGGCGACACGCUGGGCCGUACCUGACACUGAGGCGCGAUAGCAUGGGGAGCAAACAGG